UAGCUAACGCGAAAGUUGACGCUCGCGAGGAGGGCCGCAGGUUAAUCAAAGGAAUUGACGGGGACCGCCCCACCCAAAGAGAUGUGGAUUAUUUGAUUCAACGCGAAAAACAAAACCUGGUCUUGACAUGUCCAGAACUUUCCAUAGAUGGAUUGGUGCCGAAAGGGAGGAGUAACACAAAGCAUGGCGUCGUCAGCUCGGUCGUGAGAUGUUGGGUUAAGUGCAACGAGCGCAACCCUCCCUUCCUUUCCAUUUAGUUGAGCACUCUAAUGGGACGCCGGUGACAAACCGGAGGAAGGUGGGGAUGACGUCAAGUCCUCAUGGCCCUUAUCCAGGGCUUCACACGUCAUACAAUGGCGGUACAGAGGGUGGAAGCCGCGAGGGGAGCCAAUCUCAUAAAACCUUUAGUAGUCCGGAUCGCAGUCUGCAACUGAUCAAGUCUGACCUAAUGAGAGUCUA
rnacentral:rRNA from 1 species